GACGAACGCUGGCGGCGGGCUUAACACAUGCAAGUCGAACGGAAAGGCCCUGCUUUUGUGGGGUUCUCGAGUGGCGAACGGGUGAGUAACAGGUGAGUAACCUGCCCUUGACUUUGGGAGAACUUCAGGAAACUGGGGCUAAUACCGGAUAGGAGCUCCUGCUGCAUGGUGGGGGUUGGAAAGUUUCGGCGGUUGGGGAUGGACGCGCGGCUUAUCAGCUUGUUGGUGGGGUAGUGGCUUACCAAGGCUUUGACGGGUAGCCGGCCUGAGAGGGUGACCGGCGACCUUGGGACUGAGAGAGGGAGCAGACUCCUAUGGGAGGCAGCAGUGGGGAAUAUUGCACAGUGGGAGGGAGCCUGAUGAGGAGACGCCGGGUGCGGGAUGACGGCCUUCGGGUUGUAAAACGCUUUAGCCUGUGACGAAGCGCGAGUGACGGUACUGGGUAAAGAAGCACCGGCUAACUACGUG
rnacentral:rRNA from 1 species